GCCUCGGCCUCCCAAAGUGCUGGGAUUACAGGCGUGAGCCACCGCGCCCGGCCUUUUUUUGUGUUUUGUUCAUACUACUUAUCACCUUCUAGCAUACUAUAAAAUUCACUUUUAUUAUGCUUAUUAUUUACUAUUUCUCCCACGGGGGAAUAAAAUAAAACACUUUGGAUGUGUUUUUUUUUCCACUCAGGGGAGUGCAAGUUUACAAGAACAGAGAUCUUUGUUUUAUUCCCCAAAAGAGUAUCUUUUGAUAUUGGUUUUCAGCAAAAAUUUGCUGAAGGAAUAAAGUGAAUGAAUCAAUCAGUGAGAACUCUCAUUGUUAUUUGUAGGGGCAUAUGCAAAGUGUCACUGAAAGCUGUGUGUUUGAGUCUCCCAAGUAAGUCCAGGAAAGAUUAGCCUGAAGUCUGAUUUAAUUAUCUUUAAUUGUGUUAUUAUUAGGUGUCUUAGAUUGGAAGACAGUCUGAGUGAAAGAUGAUGCCUUUGACUUCAUUUUUGGUGAAGAGUUUAGUCUUUUAAAACUACAUGCAAUAAUAUAGUAUGAUUUUGAGCAAGGGCUCUGGAGCCAUUGUUCUUGGGUCAAAAAGAGAUCAGUUUCUUACUACUUAUGUGAAGGGCAAGUGACUUAAACUUUGCUGUUUCAGAUUUCUCAACUAUAAAACGCUGAAACUAAGAGUACUUACCCGACAUAUUACUGUGAAGAAGAAAUGAGCAAAGAGCUUAGAACAGAGCUUGGCACAUAAGAACUGCUUGAUAAUGAUCAGAUGUUAGCAUGAUUAGUACUUGGAGGGAGGCAGCUUUGUUUCAUGAAAAGAACAUCACAUUGGUUUUAAGACUGAGAUCUAAGUCUGUCUUUAUUACUAAUUAGUUGCAUGGAAUUGAGCAAGUCAUUUAAUGACUCUGCUUUUAUUAGAAAACAAAAGAGUAAUACCAUAUUACAUCUAAGACCUCUUCUUGCUCUAAAAGCCUGUAAUCCUCUUAUAAUGAUGAUGAUUGCAUAUUUCUUUAUAGGGUCAUUUAUCAAAUACAUAUGUAAUUUCUAUAGAAAAUUUAUUCUUAAGAUAGAGAUAACUAAACUGAUGGAAUAUAUCAUGUUAAUCUUUAUUUGAUAUUAAAAUAAUUGUUAAGAUUACAAGGAUAAGAUGGAGCUUCAAGAAAUACUAAUUAAUGAUAAUGACAUGUAUGUAUGGCAUCUCAUAAAUGAACAGUGUACGCUUUUAAAUAAUAUAUACAAAUACUUAUUCUUGCCAUUUUGUAGUUAACUUUUCUGAACUGUUUCAAGAAAUAGGGUAGUCCUUUGUGUAGUAUUCAUUUUAAUUAUAUGACAAUUAUAUAUAGAUGUUGCAAGAUCUGGUAAAAUCUCAUUAAAUUGUCAUAGUUCAGUCUGACAGAUAUGUGCUUCUAAACUAUAGAUGAUGGCAAGAGAAAUGAGUAACUCAUUUUCUACACUUUUUGUAAAGACUGGGCUUCAUGAUGAUAGUCGUGAACGUGCUCUGUUACUUUAAAAAAUUGACUAUUAGAAGCAAAAGAGUAGCCUAGAUAAUAAAAUUACAUUUCAACAUUUUCUCUCGGAUAAAUUCUGGUUAUAAUCAGUGGACAUCUGUUCAUUUUUAAACUUUAAUGUUUGUUUACUUUGAGUUUGUAGCUUAAGAUAAAAAUUCCAGACAGUUUAAUAACAAAGAGUAAGUUUGUCAUUUAAAACAAAUGCCUUAAUCAAAAUUUCCAUAUAACAAAGUUAUUUUCACGCUCUGGUUAUUGGCACAUUUAAUUCAAACACUAUUUCAUAGAGUAAAUUUUCAGGAUAAAUUGAACUUAAUCAUGGUGGUUUGGUAAUGGAAUUCGGUCCUAGAUCUCUUUUCUUUUCUUUAGGCUCUGAUUUUUUAAAAAUCUUGAUUGGAUGCAUUAAAAAUCAGAGAAUCUGCAUGAUAAUCAAGAGGAACAGCAGAGAACAGUUCUUGGUUAGAAAGAAACUGUACCAUAGGUAGAAAAAUAUGAAGAGAUAUCUUUGUACUAGGUUAUCCUCUCUGAGCAUGAAUAUAGUAUUUGUGUAAGGUAAAACUGACUUUUUAAAAUGAGGUGCAUAUGCUGCAUGGCACUGGGAAAUGGACAUCAAACCUGCGUGUCCAUCUUGUGCUGAAUGUCCUUGCUUAGUAAAUUUCAUUUUAACCGUAAAAAGAAGCACAUAUUGGAAGGAAAACUGACUUCCAAUAAGCAUUUCUCAUAAAAAUGUUUUUCUAUAGUGUGCAUUUAGAGAACUUCCAGAAGACACUGAUAAUCCAGCUGAGAGCUUAUGAAAAAUAUAUAUAUGAUAGCUUUUAAAUGGUUUUCCAAUUACCAGCCUAAUUCUAUGGUGAUUUCAAAACAUACCAUGAAUCAAUAUUACAGAAUAAUGUCUUAAUGUUUGAUUGUUGAUACAAUAUGUAUCAAAUCAUAGAUGUUAGUUCUAUCUCAUUAUACAAAUAUUUUCAAAGACUUCCAUUUAGGUUAUACAAAGCCCUUAAGUGUGAAAAAUGACAUACUGCAAUUAUCUAUCUUUUGUUGAAAAUUUAACUACAAAAUAACAAGAGUAAGUGUUUGUAUAUGUUAUUUAAAAGCUUACAUUGUCUGUGAGAUGCCAUGCACAUAUGUCAUUAUCAUUGAUUAGUAUUUCUUGAAGCUCCAUAUCAUCCUGUAGCCUCAACAAUUAUUUUAACAUCAAAUAAAGAUUAAUAAUAAAUUAUAGUAAUUUAGUCAUCUCUAAUUUACCCAGAGAAUACAUUUCCCAUAGAAAUUAUAUAUGCAUUUGAUAAAUGACCUGUUAAAGAAAUAUGCCAUCAUCAUCAUUAUAAAGGAAUUACAGGCUUUUAGACUAAAAAAAGGUGUUAAAUGUAAUGUGGUAUUACUCUUUGGUUUUCAAAUAGAAACAAUUAAUUAAAUGACUUUCUCAACCCCGUUGCAUCUAAUUAGUUCAAUUUCCCAUUCUUUUUGGUAAUACAAAUUUGGAAGAAGUCUAUACUAUUAUUUUCUACAUUAGUUCAACUUAGAGCCACAAUCUAUAUUCCUCUUUAGUUCAAAAGUCAUUUUUCAAAGAUGCACUAUCUUAGGAUUAAAUUGUAUUCAUAGACCCUCAUUGAAUAAAUUAUAUCCAAUUAACUAUAUUUAUUUAACAGUUUAUGAUUUUUAAAUAUCAUGACUUUUUAAAAUCUCUAAUUUAUUUGCCUUCUACAUGUACUAGGUUAGUUUCUGCAAAAAUAUAAGGGAACUAAGUAUUGUGAUCUGGCCAUAGUGCUGUUCAGAGGCUAGUUGGGAAAUUGAGGGUGCUUGCUAUAUUUUUGAAAGUGUACUCCUUAAUAUGUGGUUUGAUUUUAAUUCAACCAACAUUUGUUCAGAAUAUACUAUUAGUAAAGCCUUGUAUUCACAUUUAUGUGAUAUGUAAUCAUGAAAAAGACAUUGACUCUGCCAUAUACAUAUUCAUAACUUAGAAGAGGAGAUAAACAUGAAAAUCUGGUAAGUCAAGCAACUAAGUUGAGAAUAUAAGGAUAGUAGAGAUUAAUUCUAGUUGGAAUUGAGGAAUUGGGAAGAAACCAUGUGAUAGUAGGAUAAAAGCUAAGAGCUUAAAUUUGGAGGACAUUUUCUAGUAGCUGAAAUGGGGAGACAUGCAAUGUAGUUAGGCCCAAGGUUGGUUUGCAUGGGAAGAAAUUGGAUUUGAUUAUAAUUAUUAUUAUUAGUAGUAGUAGUAGACAUCGUCAUAGUUGUAGUCAUAGUUGUAUUUUAUGAAGGGUAUUUGCAUAAUUCUAUAAUUAAUUAUUGAGAUGCAUUUUGUGAAAACAAAGAGAAUUAAAUCAUAGCAAAAUGGGAAAAAUUAUCUAACAUUCCUCUGCCUUUCCUUUUGGUGUCCUUUGGCUUGGUUUGGUGUCCUGAGACAUUUGCCUGUGGUGAUCUACCUCCAUGGUCACCAUGCUGUAGUAAUAAGUGUGCAAGUUUGAAAAUCAGAUGACCUGGCCUGGAGUCCUGACUCUACCCCUCACAAAAAAUUCAUAUUGAUGAACCUAGACUUUCAAGACAUGGCUAAAUUAUGUCCAAAACAAGCUUCUUAUACUGAAAUUCUGCUCUGACUGUAGGAUCAAGUACACAGAAUAUUUGACAACGUCUGGAGACAGUGUCUGGCUUGUCACAGUUGGGGAAGAUACCACAGAUAUCUCGUGGGUAGAAGCCGGGGUGCAGUUAAAUAUCCUAUGAAGCAUAUAAUGCUGUUCUCUACAACAAAGAAUUGUCUGACGUUGCUGAAGUUAAGAAACUCUGGACCAAGGUUUUUGGCCUGAACAGAGGAAAGAAUGAUGCUACCAGUAACAGAAUGAGGGCGCUGCUAGUGCAGUAUAGUUUGCAAAAAGGAAACCAGAGUUCUGUCUUUUUGAAGUGCCUAUCAGAUUUUCAAGGCCAAUGUCAAAUAUUACAAUAUCAUAAAGUAAAAAUAAGAUUAAAGUUUAUCUGUUGUUAAAUUAAUGUUUAAAUAAUUCCUUUAGAAAUUAAAUUUCUAUAAAAUGGAAA